rnacentral:sRNA from 1 species
AUACCAGAUUUAAACGGCAAAAGCCGACCAUGCUUGCAUGGGGAGGCAGGUGCCGAUUUAAAUCGCCAAAACAUGAGGAAGCAGCGAUUUACAAAGCAAAUCUGCGAAAUCCGAAUGUUUUUAGAAUUGCGAAAGUUGCAACGCAACGGAGCAAUUCGUGGGUAU